GAUGAACGCUGGCGGCGUGCCUAGUACAUGCAAGUCGAGCGAACAGACGAGGAGCUUGCUCCUCUAACGUUAGCGGCGGACGGGUGAGUAACACGUGGAUAACCUACCUAUAAGACUGGGAUAACUUCGGGAAACCGGAGCUAAUACCGGAUAAUAUAUUGAACCGCAUGGUUCAAUAGUGAAAGACGGUUUUGCUGUCACUUAUAGAUGGAUCCGCGCCGCAUUAGCUAGUUGGUAAGGUAACAGCUUACCAAGGCAACGAUGCGUAGCCGACCUGAGAGGGUGAUCGGCCACACUGGAACUGAGACACGGUCCAGACUCCUACGGGAGGCAGCAGUAGGGAAUCUUCCGCAAUGGGCGAAAGCCUGACGGAGCAACGCCGCGUGAGUGAUGAAGGUCUUCGGAUCGUAAAACUCUGUUAUUAGGGAAGAACAAAUGUGUAAGUAACUAUGCACGUCUUGACGGUACCUAAUCAGAAAGCCACGGCUAACUACGUG
rnacentral:rRNA from 1 species